rnacentral:rRNA from 1 species
GACGAACGCUGGCGGCGUGCCUAAUACAUGCAAGUCGAACGCAGUGGGGACGGGUGAGUAACACGUGGGUAACCUCCCAUCAGAGGGGAUAACACUUGGAAACAGGUGCUAAACCGAUACUGAUGGAUGGACCCGCGGUGCAUUAGCUAGGUGGUGAGGUAACGGCUCACCAAGGCCACGAUGAAUAGCCGACCUGAAAGAGUAAUCGGCGACACUGGAACGGAGAAACGGCCCAGAGUCCGACGGGAGGCAGUAGUAGGAACUCUUCGGCAAUAGACGGAAGUCUGACCGAGCAGCGCCGCGUGAGUAAAAAAGGUUUUCGGAUCGUAAAGCUCUGUUGUUAGAGAAGCGGUAUCUAACGAGCAAGCCACGGCUAACUACGUGCCAGCAGCCGCGGUAAUAC